GCGCUGGUAGAAGCAGCACAUAUACUAAAAUUGGAACGAUACAGAGAAGAUUAGCAUGGCC
rnacentral:snRNA from 1 species